rnacentral:ribozyme from 1 species
CAUCUCCCGAAACCUUUCACAGGCCACCAAGCUUACCUCGGCUUCACGGCUACGGCGGAGCAAGGAAUGCGGCUUCGCGAUAUGGCGCUUGUGGCCUUCUGUGGGCUUGACUACCCCGUGGACUACCCGCCUGACCCGG